rnacentral:tRNA from 1 species
UCCCCAGUGGUCCAGUGGUUAAGACUUUGCACGUCCAAUGCAUGGACUGCAGGUUCAAUCCCUGGUCGGGGAA